rnacentral:rRNA from 1 species
GUGACUCCUACGUGCCAGCAGCCGCGGUAAUACGUAGGGUGCGAGCGUUAAUCGGAAUUACUGGGCGUAAAGCGGGCGCAGACGGUUACUUAAGCAGGAUGUGAAAUCCCCGGGCUCAACCCGGGAACUGCGUUCUGAACUGGGUGACUCGAGUGUGUCAGAGGGAGGUAGAAUUCCACGUGUAGCAGUGAAAUGCGUAGAGAUGUGGAGGAAUACCGAUGGCGAAGGCAGCCUCCUGGGACAACACUGACGUUCAUGCCCGAAAGCGUGGGUAGCAAACAGGAUUAGAUACCCCUGUAGUC